UCUGGAGCCACUUUAUUGCGUUGUAACGCAUGGCUACAUGCGAAUUGUGAAAAUUCUGUGUGUUCUCUCAUGAAAAUUAGUUAUUUAUUAUUAUUUUGACGUCUCAAAUUUAUACUUAUUAUUCAUCAUUCUCAUAAGAUCCUUUUUGAUUUAUCCUUUGGUAUGUUCCGAAUUACAUACGAAGCGCAUGAGCUGAAGAGAGAGGUAGCUACAGCAUCCAAGAUGACGAGUAUUGUUCCAAUUUGAAAUGUAUAUUCGCAUCAAUUCAUAUCAAUUGCAUACUAAAAUUGGAACGCUGUUAGCAGCAUGUUUUUAUGACGACAUAUCUGCGCUGACAAUCAAUUUUGGAACACAGCCUCUGCAAGCUAAAUCGGAGAUGUAUUAUUCGCAACUUAUGAGAACAGAUUGAUUCGAACUAGAAGGAUCUUCACUAUGACAAAAGAGAUAGAGAUUCUGAUAAAUUUUAACUAAUAACGUGAUAUUUUCGAAUAAAAAUAUACGUGAUAGGGAUAAAAGAAACUGAGAUAUGUAAUUGUCGAUGACUCAAGAAUCCCUUAGGGAUUGAGUCAUAAGAUAUCUAUAAGACUGAAUAUUCGAGACGGGUCUUAAGGAUAGAUAAAAAAAGGACUAAAAACAAUAGAUAAAAGCAAAUAAGAAAAGUAACAGGAAACAAGAUUUAUCAGAAAUGUUUAGGAACAAAAGUAUAGAAAAAUUUUAUGUUAAAAACGUAACGUUAACAAAAGUGACAUGGCACGUAACAUAAGCCAACUCGAUUGCCGACUCUGAUUGCCAAUUCUAAUUGAUCGAUCAUACUUGAUGUUUGUCGAUGAUUGCUAUCCAUUGACUCAAUAUGUUUGUAUAGACUACAGAUUCAUAUAUGUGGAUUGUAUAAAAGAGUAAAAUUUACUAAAACGCGAGCGAAUCUCAGAAUUGUAUCGGACAUAAUACGAUAUUUGAAAAUCGAGAGGAACUGA